rnacentral:pre_miRNA from 1 species
UUUGAUGUAAAUUGAUUUAUGUUUGGAAACAUAUACUUAAAAGUGAUUCUUAUGAAUUGAUGUUGUUUGAGUAC